GGUGGAUAUCUAGUGGAAACCUCUCCAUGUAGUUGGAAGAAAGAGUGUGGAGAUGGAUGCCUGAGAAAGUAGAUGUAGAAAUAGUCCAUGAAACUUCAGAGAAAGCCUGACUCCUGUGAAUGCAUAUAUAUUUUUUUUUUUUCUUCAUGGAAUGAGACAGCAAGAGAGAGCUUUUAUCCCUGAGUUGCUGUAUUGCUGUAAUACUUUGGAGGAUCUUCCUGGCUGGAAUACAGCCCAGCUGCAGUGUGUUUGUUGCUGUGUACACACAUACUGAAAUUUACAUAAAUUCUCAUCUCUUGGUUUUUCACGAGUACAGUUUUCAGCGCAAGGUAUACUUCUCUUUCUGGUCCAAGCCCAGGAAAUUCAGGUAUUUAUUGGAUCUGUACAUUAUAUUUUCUCACUUAAAUACUUGUAGAGAAGCCUAGAAAUUGACUCAGUCUGUUUCUACUAAAUUAUUUCAACAGCAGUACAAAGGGCUGUUGAAAUACAAACCCCAGGUUCAGCAGGCUGAAUUCUCUACUUAGUAGUCAACCCAGAGCCAUUAUUUUUUUGAUGGUUUCACUUAUGGCUGCACAAAUCUUACUAGUUUUCAGCAGUGUUCUUUCAGAAACUACAACCAAGUCUACACCUUAAACUUGAAACUUUCUAAUUGGAAAUAAUGUCUAUGUAAGGAAACACCAAAACAAAUUAUAAACCAAACCUGGCUUCACUCAAGGUCUUUUCCCUGGGAAUGUAAUAGAUCUUGCACAAUUAUGCAAAAUUCUCCUAUUUCCAUACACAGUUAUUUUAGCUUCUCUCUGUCAAGGAAAGCUUAAUUCUUUAUACCCUCAAAUCAUACCAGGGUAGAAAACAGACUGCUGUAUUCACAUUUCUAGCUUUCCAAUAUAGUUUUCAGUUUCUUUUAUAAUCUGAGAUGGUAUGUGUCUAGACUCUUUCACCUCUUGUUGUCCUCAGCCUGGUUGCUCUGUGAAUUUGGUUGAAUAU
rnacentral:lncRNA from 1 species